ensembl:lincRNA
AGAUCAAAUUUAUUGACUCAACCUGGGUUCCUUUUCUCUAUUUUCAGAUUUGAAUUGUAUAACUAUGCAUGUGCUCUUGUCAAAAAGGAAGACCAUGUCAGUGUGCAAAAUGGAAGGAAAGUCCAUUCUGUUACUGGACAACAAAUAUCAUGCACUUGCCUGAGGAAAAUCCACACCUUAAUUAUUUUGAGAAAUCCCCAAGGACGCUGACCUUAUCUGCAAAUCAGUACUGGCAUUCCUUGCUACCGCUAGGGAUGAAAAUCCACCACAGCUAACAUUAUGAAACAUGAUUGCUGUACCCAGCCCUGGAGACUGGAUUGCUGAAGUGUCGCUUUUGUGAGCCGAGAGGCAAGUAGUUCCCUCUGCUGUGUUCAGUGGGGGAGAUGCUUCGAUAUAACUGCUUGCUCAUGAACGCCUACAGAAUACAGCGAGGCAGCCCAUUGUAUCUGCAGAGUCCACAUGUGUCUUCAGGAUGGCUGGAUUAGCAUGGCCUGUGCUAUUCUUUCUCUUGCUUUAGCCAAGUGGAGUCCCUCAAUGGACUAUCAUCUACCCCAGUGAUGGAGAACUUUUUAGAGCUUCCAACCAUAGCAGCUGCCUUUGGCACACACACCAUAGAUUAAACACCACUGAUCUACACUUUUCCUUCCCUUUUUGGAAAUCGUAGAUUGAAGGCUGGCUUCUCAUUUUCUUUCCAGAAAUCUUUUCUGCCGCACUUGUCCACCUGACAUAGGUAAAUAUGACAGAAGUGCAGUAGAGGACAGGGAUUGUGUUUCUGUUCCCCAUCAGUGGAAUGCCUGAGUUCCUUUGAAAGUUACUUGUUACAAAUGAGGAAAUAGAGCCUAUACAACUCCACCAGCAUAGGACUAUGGUAAGCCAUCAUGGUAAGCCUUGACAUAGGCCUAGCCAUGGUUGAACUUUGAGUCACCCCGCCGGCACAGACGUGCUGUAGCCCAUGACAACGGGCUGGUUCAACUGGUGGUCUGACCUGUUGCCUAGCGAAUGUAGCCCAUAAUACUUGUAGAACCUUGUGACCUUUCCAGUCUGCUACACCCUGUUUGUACUUUACCUUGUGACCUUUCCAGUCUGCUACACCCUGUUUGUACUUUUGGUUUCGGUUUUAGCCUAUAUAUACCCCACCCUGAAAAAUAAACGGGGCCUUGCUGCGGUAGAGCAUGAGCCUGGAACUAAGUUCGUGAAACUGCUCUCCUGUUGUUCUUCCCUCGGGUUUGGGACCUGCUGGCAGGAUUCUGACGUUGCGGCUCGCGACAUAGGACUACUGUAAUUUACCCACCUGAGACACUUGGUUAUAUCCAUUUAUAUCAGGCUCAUGAUGUUUGAAGGGAUUCUAGCAUCCUUUUAAAAAUAAAAAUGAAAGAUUACUUAAAUGUUCCGAAGAUAUUCAGCAAAAUAGAAAAACGAGACAAAAAUAGACUUGACUGACAUCACGGCG